AACCGAAGGGAACGAACGCCCUUCUCCCCCUUCUUUAGACGCGCAAACCGAGUUCGUCGGACGCGGCCAAAGCCAAAGCCAAAGCCAAAGCGUCCCCGCGAGGCGCCCCCACGAGCUCGCGAGCGAGAAAGCGAGCGGGGCGGCGCGCGAGGUGGAGAGCGAGCGACGAACAAAGAAAGAACGGACCGGCGGUUCAGAAAGCCGGGUGCUUGCUCGCUUUCCGUCGAACGUGGAAGGAGGAAAAAUAAAGGAAAGUGGAGCGGAGGGCAAAUAAUCGAAAAAACCCUAAUCGAAGGCGAAAGGUUGCUUGUCCCAAUGGUAUGCAAGACUGGUUGUGGGAGAAUGGCUGCCAUCAUGAGGCUUCUCACUGUUGGAAGUUGUCCGGAAAUUACAACAGAAGAGGACACCUACGAGAAGAUUGCUUCUCGGACCAUACGUAAGGAGUUUUAUGAUGCAGAUGAGGCAAAUUUACUUGAAGAAGAAGGUAAACUUCACAAUUUUGGUUGCAGUUUUAUCAAUUUUAACAGAGAUUUUUUUCUUAGUUGUUUGAUUUAUGACCCUUGUUUGCCUCCUGCUUCCUUCAUGCAACCAUGUUGUGAAAUUUCACACACAUUGUUUGUAAUACAGUUUUGCUCACUGCCACUGUCUUCGGUGUUCAAAGCCAUAGUUUUAAUAAGAAUAGAAGUAGCAUGUACUGCCUGUUGCAUAAACCACCAUUUUCAUCUGUAAUAUCAGGUCACUGACUCACUGUGUCCGCUAUAUUCAGAUAGUAGAUUGAACAAUGUAAUUAAACUAUCUGAUCAAGUUAUAAUUUGCAUAUCAAUGUUUACAAGUUGAGAUGCAGCAUGUGUGCUGUGAACUAAUAAUUAACAAAACUCCUGCUGAUUCAAGAAAGUACUUUGAUAACAUUGAAAGCUGGUGUUGCAUAAACAGGAAACAAGAUCAUGGAACCAUAUUCUUGAGUAUAAACAAAAGAAAACAUUUAAAAGUGUUUCACUUUUCAAACUUUCUCUAUAAAUACUCUGCAAGAAUGGUGGAACCAGGGUUUUAUUCAAGGAGUGGCCAAAAAUGUGGAGGUCACACUAAAACAUGGUGCCCUAUAGUCGAAUAUAAUUGUAGACAUAUUUUGAAUUGUUCGGCAAAACACGAAAGGAAAAUUUUCAAUUUAUCAUACAUGCAAGCAAUGUAUGCCGAACCAGGCCGAACCGCCUAGUUCAUCCCAUACCGAACCGGUGAGGAAUCGGAUUGGUCUGGCUCUAAAUUUUGAAAUCUCCUCCGAACAGUCUUGAAUCACUCUGAACUAGGCGAUUCGGAGCAGAACCGAUGCAAACCGCUCAGU